rnacentral:rRNA from 1 species
ACAGGGAGACAGGUGGUGCAUGGUUGUCGUCAGCUCGUGUCGUGAGAUGUUGGGUUAAGUCCCGCAACGAGCGCAACCCCUACGUUUAGUUGCUAACGCGUGAAGGCGAGCACUCUAGACGAACUGCCGUUGACAAAACGGAGGAAGGUGGGAUGACGUCAAAUCAUCAUGCCCCUUAUGACCUGGGCUACACACGUGCUACAAUGGUUGGUACAACGAGUUGCGAGUCGGUGACGGCGAGCUAAUCUCUUAAAAGCCAAUCUCAGUUCGGAUUGUAGGCUGCAACUCGCCUACAUGAAGUCGGAAUCGCUAGUAAUCGCGGAUCAGCACGCCGCGGUGAAUACGUUCCCGGGCCUU